rfam:Megaselia scalaris, Durham, NC isolate 2 -- Noor lab, WGS project CAQQ02000000 data, contig: ctg0000038620
UUGUGAUAGCUAGCGUUUGGCUUAUUGGUAGUUAUGUUUGGAAUCUAUCAUAAGACACACGCGGCUAUUAUGG